AGAGUUUGAUCAUGGCUCAGAUUGAACGCUGGCGGCGUGCCUAACACAUGCAAGUCGAGCGGUAACAGGUGUAGCAAUACAUGCUGACGAGCGGCGAACGGGUGAGUAAUGCUUUGGAAUCUUCCCAGUAGUGGGGAAUAACCAGUCGAAAGAUUGGCUAAUACCGCAUACGUCUGUAAAGGGAAAGCGGGGGCUCGUAAGACCUCGCGCUAUUGGAUGAGCCAAAGUCGGAUUAGCUAGUUGGUGGGGUAAUGGCCUACCAAGGCGACAAUCCGUAGCUGGUCUGAGAGGACGACCAGCCACACCGGAACUGAGACACGGUCCGGACUCCUACGGGAGGCAGCAGUGGGGAAUAUUGGACAAUGGGGGAAACCCUGAUCCAGCGACGCCGCGUGUGUGAAGAAGGCCUGCGGGUUGUAAAGCACUUUUUAGUGGGGACAAAAAAGCUACGGACUAACACUCUGUGGUCUUGAUUUAACCCAAAGAAAAAAGCACCGGCUAACUCUGUGCCAGCAGCCGCGGUAAUACAGAGGGUGCGAGCGUUAAUCGGAAUUACUGGGCGUAAAGCGCGCGUAGACGGUUUUGUAAGUCAGAUGUGAAAUCCCUGGGCUCAACCUGGGAACUGCAUUUGAAACUGCAUGGCUAGAGUAUCGAAGAGGGAAGUGGAAUUUCCGGUGUAGCGGUGAAAUGCGUAGAUAUCGGAAGGAACACCAGUGGCGAAAGCGACUUCCUGGUCGAAUACUGACGUUCAUGUGCGAAAGCGUGGGGAGCAAACAGGAUUAGAUACCCUAGUAGUCC
rnacentral:rRNA from 1 species